AUUGAACGCUGGCGGCAGGCCUAACACAUGCAAGUCGAACGAGUGGCGGACGGGUGAGUAAUGUGUGGGAAACUCCCCGAUGGAGGGGGAUAACUACGGGAAACGGUAGCAAAUACCGCAUACCAUCGGAUGAGCCCAGAUGGGAUUAGCUAGUAGGUGGGGUAACGGCUCACCUAGGACACGAUCCCUAGCCGGUCUGAGAGGAUGACCAGCCACACUGGAACUGAGACACGGUCCAGACUCCUACGGGAGGCAGCAGUGGGGAAUCUUGCACAAUGGGCGCAAGCCUGAUGCAGCCAUGCCGCGUGUAUGAAGAAGGCCUUCGGGUUGUAAAGUACUUUCAGUGAGGAGGCGUUACCCGCAGAAGAAGCACCGGCUAACUCCGUGCCAGCAGCCGCGGUAAUAC
rnacentral:rRNA from 1 species